UACGUAGGGGGCAAGCGUUGUCCGGAUUUAUUGGGCGUAAAGAGCUCGUAGGUGGUUCGGUAAGUCGGAUGUGAAAUCUCCAGGCUCAACCUGGAGGGGUCAUUCGAUACUGCCGUGACUAGAGUUCGGUAGGGGAGUGUGGAAUUCCUGGUGUAGCGGUGAAAUGCGCAGAUAUCAGGAGGAACACCGGUGGCGAAGGCGGGGUCUCUGGGCCGAUACUGACACUGAGGAGCGAAAGCGUGGGGAGCGAACAGG
rnacentral:rRNA from 1 species